AUUAGAAUGGUUAAGAGCCAAUGGGAGGAGAAUUGGAGACAGCACCACCCUCGAGGAGUUUUACUAUAAAGGGAAGCAGAGAACGAGAAGUCAGCUGGAGGGGGAAGUGGCAUUAAGAGAGUUUCAUUUUCUUUUAAGAUGGGGACAAUAAUAGCGUGUUGGUAUGCUUACGGGAACGAUCCAGUAAACAGGGCAAGCAGAGGAUGCAGGAGGGCUAGAGGAGAAUUGCUGGGGCAACGUCCUUGAGUUGGUGAAAGGGGUGAGAUCGAGUGCCCAAGUGGAGGGGUUGGCCUGGGAUAGGAGCACGGACAGUUCAGCCAGAGAAGUGAUAACGAGCAUGGAGGACAGGUGCAUGGCGCCGGCGUAUGGCGCAUUACUCACGGGAGCGUCACCUUCUAUAACGUAACACCCGCCCCUCCUCUGCUCUUCUAUCAGUGGAAACAUGGCUUCUUCCAGAUUGCCAAGGGUGAGAGUAGAGUGAAUGCGCUCCACUGUGACCACGCUAUCUGCCUGGGGAAGAUCGAGCACCUCUGCAUGGCAAAGGAAGAAAGGAAGGAAGGAAAGAAGACAGGAAGGAAAGAAGGAAGGUGGAGAAGAUUUUAGAAGCUAGGUCUGCCGAGAGCAGCUGGACUGAGCGAUCGACAGAGGACCUCAUGCCACAUGUGCUGAUCACAGUAGAACCUGUGAAUUCGAUUUUAUUAAGAAUGUUGAUGGACAUGACCAAUACAUUAGAAAUAUACAAAUAUCUCACCACAGCAGCGCUUUCUGUGAUUUUCACUCUAAGACUACAACAGUGUGAAAGACAGUGCACAAGAGUCAUCUAGCAUUGUGCUGCCUCUUCCAGAACACAAAGAUAACAAGGAAGCAGCAGGGAACAGAGGAGCCUCCAUCUGCAAGGAUGAAUGUGAUAAUGGUGGGGUGGCUCCUACCUGCUUUACGUCCUCAUAACGGUUCAGAUGGAUCGCAUCUCUGGAUUUCUGCAUCUUGUAGCCAGCCACGAGGCAUGGCCACACACUUUUGGGUAGCUGAAGCUAAAGCACUUAUUUAGGUGGUUGACUAAUUGUGCCUUUAUGUUGCCUUCUGGAUAGAAGGAGGAAGAAGAGGAGGAGGAAGGAACCUUUAUGCCCAUUGUUUUUUACUAGGCUGCC
rnacentral:lncRNA from 1 species